GUCGUUCGCUACAAUGAAAUGUCGUAACGACUCUCGGCAACGGAUAUCUCGGCUCUCGCAUCGAUGAAGAACGUAGCGAAAUGCGAUACUUGGUGUGAAUUGCAGAAUCCCGUGAACCAUCGAGUCUUUGAACGCAAGUUGCGCCCGAAGCUGUUAGGCUGA
rnacentral:rRNA from 1 species